AUUCUUCUGUGCUCUGCAAUGGGAUAGGAUCCGAAGCCCUUCUGAGGGAUAAUAUAGGCUCUCCUAUUUAACUCCUAUCCGGACACGUGCAGAGUGGUAGCAUGCGUCAUCACAUAUUCAAACUUGGGUACACGUACUAAUUAAAACCCCUCGAAAACAGCGUCGUAAUAAGGGA
rnacentral:ribozyme from 1 species